rnacentral:rRNA from 1 species
GACGAACGCUGGCGGCGUGCUUAACACAUGCCAGUCGAACGGAAAGGCCCUGCUUUUGUGGGGUGCUCGAGUGGCGAACGGGUGAGGAACACGUGAGUAACCUGCCCUUGACUUUGGGAUAACUUCAGGAAACUGGGGCUAAUACCGGAUAGGAGCUCCUGCUGCAUGGUGGGGGUUGGAAAGUUUCGGCGGUUGGGGAUGGACUCGCGGCUUAUCAGCUUGUUGGUGGGGUAGUGGCUUACCAAGGCUUUGACGGGUAGCCGGCCUGAGAGGGUGACCGGCCACAUUGGGACUGAGAUACGGCCCAGACUCCUACGGGAGGCAGCAGUGGGGAAUAUUGCACAAUGGGCGGAAGCCUGAUGCAGCAACGCCGCGUGCGGGAUGACGGCCUUCGGGUUGUAAACCGCUUUCGCCUGUGACGAAGCGUGAGUGACGGUAAUGGGUAAAGAAGCACCGGCUAACUACGUG